ACCCGCUGAACUUAAGCAUAUCAAUAAGCGGAGGAAAAGAAACCAACAGGGAUUGCCUCAGUAACGGCGAGUGAAGCGGCAACAGCUCAAAUUUUAAAGCUGGCGUCUUCGACGUCCGCAUUGUAAUUUGGAGAGGCAUCUUCGGAUUGGGCGCCAGCCUAUGUUCCUUGGAACAGGACAUCACAGAGGGUGAGAAUCCCGUGCUUGGCUGGCUGUCCCAUUUCAUGUGAAGUGUCUUCGACGAGUCGAGUUGUUUGGGAAUGCAGCUCAAAAUGGGUGGUAAAUUUCAUCUAAAGCUAAAUAUUGGUGGGAGACCGAUAGCGCACAAGUAGAGUGAUCGAAAGAUGAAAAGCACUUUGAAAAUAGAGUUAAAAAGUACGUGAAAUUGUUGAAAGGGAAGCGCUUGAGACCAGACUCGGCUGGUGAUGAUCAGCUGUCCUUUUGGGCAGUGCACUUGUCGCCGGUUGGGCCAGCAUCGGUUGUGACGGCGGGAUAAAGGUUUUGGGAAUGUGGCUCCUCUCGGGGAGUGUUAUAGCCCAGAAUGCAAUGCCGCCAGCCUCGACCGAGGACCGCGCUUCGGCUAGGAUGCUGGCAUAAUGGUCUUCAGCGACCCGUCUUGAAACACGG
rnacentral:rRNA from 1 species